rnacentral:lncRNA from 1 species
UCCAUUGAAAAUAAUUUAUUUCUAAUCAAGACUGUAUAAAUAUAUUUUUACAUUUGAAAUCAGCACAAGUCUGUGUAAAAGAAAUGUAUUAUAUGAAAACACAUCUCAUCAAUGCAUGUUUAACCCUGCCGCAUUUUUGGGCCUGUCCCAAGUCAGGAGCCUCUGGCCUUUGUUAGUCUUGUAUUAUUUUUAAUUUUAGUUUCUUGUGUAUAAUUUGGAGUACGUUCAUUAUCACUGAACUAGUAUAUAUAUUUGUUUAGGGGCCAGCUGAAGGACUCCUCUGGGUGUGGAAAUUUCUCGCUACAUUGAAGACCUAUUGGUGACAUUCUGCUGUAGUUUGUUCUAUGGUUGGGUUGUUGUCUCUUUGACAAAUUCCCCAUUUCCAUUCUCAAUUCUUGUUUCACUUGAUACAGUUUCUUCCUGGCAUCCCCUAUAAAUAUUUUGAAAGUAAACUCGUGUAUGAGUUCAAUCAUAGUCCCCUUCAUUAAGGCCAUACAAAUUGUCUACAUUUAAAAAAGUUUUGAAAAUUAUCGAACUGAUCUAGCAAUACACAGAAUACUAUGUUAAAUAUCCCAGUGCAGCAAAAAUGAAAGGAUCAUACUUUCGUUGGUUAAUAUAAAAUACUUUUAAAAUACAUGUAAUAUUUAUUAAAAAGUUUAAAAUGCAAAAUAAAAGUUACAAAAGUUUAGAAAUAAAAUUUUAUAUGAAUUAUGAUUAUUGCUGGAAAAAAACAACAUUAAAUUUUAUUCAAUUUAAAACGUUGCAUAACAGUAGAAAUAUAUGAAUAAACAAAUAAAAAGAUUAUCAAUCCUUUAAAAAUCUGAUAUAAUAUUAUGGCAUCAUUACACAUUUUUAAAAUGCAAGUAAAAUUACAACUUUUGAGUUGUUUAAAAAUAUACAAAAAAGCUUACAUUUUACAUAUGGCCCAAACUAGUUUCAGUUCUCUUGGAACAUAGUAUAGAUAAUUCAACAAAACAAAACAAUAACAUAACUGAAAUAUAUAACAUUAUACAUUUGCACCAAAAAGCCAUUAAAAUAUUAUUAAAAGUAAUAUAUUUAACCCAUAUUAAAUCGUGGUUAAAAUGAAAUAUAAACUUUUAGUCAUGCAAUUGUUUUUACUUUAACUUUUUGGUAUUGGUUUAACACGUCAAACAAUAUUUUUUUAAAACUCCAGUCUUAUAAUAAUUAAGUUUGUGAAAUAAUCUUCAUACAAAUAAAUAAACUUCAUAAUUAUGCAUACACAAUUUAUGUCUGACAUUGCCUUUUUAUAUUAAACACAAAGCCUCUUUGUACAAAAAUAUGUCACAUUUGCAACUUUAUAUUUAACAAGUGUAUGAUGGUUAUCUUGUAUAAGUUAUAAAAACAGCAGUACUGAUUUAACAGGAUUUUCUUACAAACAUGCUUUUCAAGAACUAGAAAAAAUAAUUUAUCUGUUUUACAUGAAUAUUUCAAUAAUUUCUUAUCAAGGAUUUAAACAUGCCAAUUUAAAUUUAAAAUACACCGUUAUCCCUAUCUGUCUAUAAUUACUGACAUUCACAGAUGUUUCCAUAAAAAUUUGGAAGACAAAACAAUUAAUGCAAACAAAAAUGAUGUAAAUAGUUCAAAAUUUUUCAGAUUUCGAAAUAGCUAUAAGGUCUAUUCUUAAUAGUAAAACAUUAACAAAUGAUGUAAGAUUGAUACAUCUGAUUUCAUAUUGCACAAAUAAAGAUAAUGAUCUCUGUUCUGACACGUCAAAAUGUUAUUGUAAAUUUUCUAUAGAGAGCACUGGAAGAACUGUCUUUGUUGAAUCUAAUUUUUCAUUUCAAUUUUAAAUUAAAGGAGGCUCGCGGGUAUAAAAGUUUCUGAAAAAAAAUUAAACAUUUUUCUUUCAUUACAAAUUUUAUUUAUUACUUUAUUAUUUGUUACUUUAUCAUAUGGUACAAAAAUCACUCAAACAAAUUGAUUUGUUUUGGCCCCAGAUGACUUUUAAAAUG